CGACGACACGAACGGAGGACGGCCGGACGAUCGAGCUGAAGCUGGGUGACGUGUCUAUGCUAGCUAGGCCUAGCAUUACUAAUUGUCUUUCUUUUUCUUUGCCGCAAUCUGGUUGGCGCUAAGCACGCUUGCUCACGGUGACGACGCAGGAGAUAAGGCUAUCUUGCAUUCUUGCUAGAAGGCAUAACAUUAUUAUCUCUUCUCUCUCGCGUACGUACGCUACCUUGAUCAGAUUAGCUUGAGACGCGUAAUGAGCCUGGCACCUGGUUGUAUAUGACGACUU
rnacentral:lncRNA from 7 species